rnacentral:lncRNA from 1 species
GGCCCCUGAGAGGUAGUCAUUUUUUCUUUGCACACCAACUCUUCUAUUCGAUGCCAUGGCUGUUAGGGCUUUGGCUCCUGGGAGGUCUCUAGUUAAUGAUCGUAUUGAGAGAUUUUGGUGGUUACUUAUGCUUAUUGUGUAUCACAUUGAAAAAGAAAAUGCACAAUGAGCUUACCUUUGUAUAUUAGGAUUUUUUCUUCAUCGGUUACUGGUAUUUGGCUUCUAUGUGCUAAUUAAACUUGAUCAGUAUGUAUACUUCUUUGAUGUUGUAUAAUAUUGGUGUCAAAGGAGUUAAUUUAAACCGGAUAUGAUCUAUUGGAACAAUUUUUUGUUGUUCAAACGGUUAAAUUCUGAUUCUUUGUUUCAAACAUCUAAAUGAUGUUUAAUAUGUCCUUCUAUGCUUACAUGAUUAAAAUGUCGCAUUUAUAGGAUUGUAAACCUGAUGUGAUUGGAGUAGUAUUUACUUGCUGCUGAUAGUAACUACUUGUAUCCACUAAUUUCUAUGCCUCAUUUUGCUUAUUUUACUUUAUUUAUGCACACAUACUGCCUACAAGUUAAUGUGCUUUUAGAUUUGCCUUUAUUUUGCUCCUUACCAUAUUGUUUGAUAACUUGCAGAUGCUGUACUUCAUUCGUGUUUUGUCAUGGGCUCCAAGAAGUGAAGAAGCAUUGAGUUCUAGCUCAUUGGAGCUAGUUAUACUUUGAUAGAUAGUUAUAUUUUGAUAUUUAGUUGUGUUCUUGGUGGCUUUAAACCUGAUGUGAAGUAUGUUUGAUUAUAAAUGUGGUGUAUGUUUGAUUGUAAGGUCCCAAAUUUGGUUGUUGAAGUAUUACUUCUAUUUUCACUCAGUUCUGAUUUAAAUAUUUGUUUUUAU